rnacentral:piRNA from 1 species
UUAAAGAUGACCUGGACAGAAUUUACUUGU